CAGGGCUUGACAUAUGCAUGGUAGGGAAUCGAAAGAGGACCGACCCUUCGGGGAGCGCAUACAAGUGCUGCAUGGCUGUCGUCAGCUCGUGCCGUGAGGUGUUUGGUUAAGUCCAAUAACGAGCGCAACCCACGUCGUUAGUUAUACGUGUCUAGCGAGACUGCCGGUGAUAAGCCGGAGGAAGGUGUGGAUGACGUCAAGUCAGUAUGGCCUUUAUGUCCUGGGCUACACACACGCUACAAUGGCCAGUACAAUGGGUAGCGAAGCCGCGAGGUGAAGCCAAUCUCGUAAAGCUGGUCUCAGUUCGGAUUGUAGGCUGCAACUC
rnacentral:rRNA from 1 species